GAUGAACGCUGACAGAAUGCUUAACACAUGCAAGUCACCCUGUGCCGGACGGGUGAGUCCCGCGUAAAGAACUUGCCUCUCGGCUCGGGACAACAUUUGGAAACGAAUGCUAAUACAUGAUACUGUGAGAUAGCUUUGCGUCCCAUUAGCUAGUUGGAGAGGUAACGGCUCACCAAGGCGCGGAUGGGUAGCCGGCCUGAGAGGGUGAUCGGCCACAAGGGGACUGAGACACGGCCCUUACGGCUAAGGGAGGCAGCAGUGGGGAAUAUAGGACAAUGGACCAAAGGCUGAUGCAGCAAUUCUGGGGGCACGAUGAAGUUUUCGGAAUGUAAAGUGGUUUCAGUUGGGAAGCGGUACCAACAGAAGAAGUGACGGCUAAAUACGUGCCAGCAGCCGCGGUAAUUC
rnacentral:rRNA from 1 species